rnacentral:rRNA from 1 species
UACGGAGGGGGCUAGCGUUGUUCGGAAUUACUGGGCGUAAAGGGCUCGUAGGCGGCCAACUAAGUCGGAUGUGAAAUCCCCAGGCUUAACCUGGGAACUGCAUCCGAUACUGGAUGGCUUGAAUCCGGGAGAGGGAUGCGGAAUUCCAGGUGUAGCGGUGAAAUGCGUAGAUAUCUGGAGGAACACCAAUGGCGAAGGCAGCUCGCUGGGACGGUACUGACGCUGAGACGCGAAAGCGUGGGGAGCAAACAGG